ensembl:lncRNA
CUUCUACCAACAGAUACAUUUGUGCCAAAAUACAGAAAUACAGUUUGAUUGGAUGGAACCUUUACAUGAACAACAAAAUAUGGCAAGUGUUUUCUAAACAUUUUAAAAGUUUAUAAAACUAUUUAUUUUGCUAUCUAUGAUUAUUAUUUGCACUUACAUUAUUUGCAUUUGUUUUUUUCAGAACAGAACUAUGACCCUUUUUUGUGUCCCGACCCACCAGUUGCACAACAGUUACAGGUGAGAGAGAGAGUCGCUUUGUGAUUGGCUGCCCUUCUGCUCCAUAUUCAGAGGUGCUGGAUGAGGCAGAGUGCCCGCAGGGAAAAUGGCGUUGUAAUCAGGAGCCGGCUGUGCUGCCUGAUCAGGUCUUGUACCACCAUGAUGGCACAGUUACUGGUCCACCCCACUUCUAUAUUUAAAUGGAUUGAGCUCAACAAAACAGGGACACUGAGCCCCCCUCUUACCGGGAUCAUCUGUCUGCCUGGUGGACGAGCUGCGUCCUGCCCACUGCACCCAAUUCACAUAGAAAUUUACUCAAAUACUACAGAGGGUUUCAGGAGGAAGGAUUGCUGGAAGAGAUCAGCGGGACUCACUGAGUGGGCAGAGAAAAAUAGCCAGGCCAGUGAAGAUGGAUGGGUGACAGUCCCAUUGGUCACAGCGAUUCAGCACUCAGUCACCACGGAGACAAGCAGUGAAACCAGGAUUGCUGAAAGCCAAAUGAUUUGUGCUGUGAAAAAAAUUUAUAUUUUAGAUCAUUUUCUUAAACAUAAUUUAAUUUAUCAUGUAAAGUAAUGGAGCUUAAGCACAUUAAAUAAAUGCUCACCAUCAAAAUGGUGAUGUGAUAAGUUAUUUAAGCUAAAUUUGCAACCCUGUUUUUUAAUUGAAAAUUUAAAAAUGUUAUGCUAAUUUAGUGUUUAUAUCGAUUUAACAUUUUACAGGCUAUAUUUAGUAAAUUAAUUAAUGAAUUAAUUGGUUUGUGUGUUUAUUUGACUGGAAAAUAACAAUCAGGUUUUAAACUUUAUUUACCCUUUGUAUUGGUAUAUGUUGCAAAAUUUCAAAUCUCAUUUAAAAUGAAUGAAAAAAUAAUAAUAAAUAAAUAAAACAAUUCAUUUAAAAUCAACUUUGACAUCCUAAAGUAUACAAACAACAUUUUCUUAUGUUAAACUCCUUUCACUGACCAUCAGUUCAAAAAGAAAAAAAAGUGACACGUUUUUAAGCCUUUCAGGUUUUAUUUUGAAUGCCUUUUUUUUUUUUUUUUUACAGAAAAGGAAAUAAUUUAAUUAAUCUAUCUCUUCUAUUCAGAUCCAAAAAUGAGAUCUUGUCUACUUCCUCUGGAAUAAAUAAGCAAUGCAUGUACUGGUUUAGUAUCUCUUUGUUGAGUUGCUCUAUCCUGUGCCCGUUUACUGGGCAGUGUGUUUGAAAAGAGUGAACAAUGACAGUCCACAAUGAAAGUGCUCAAUUAACUGUAUAACCCAGGCAUCAAUUAAGACAUCAAUUACCAGGUUGAUUGAUGGGGUUAAAUGAUGGGAUUCAUUUUCUCCAUCCAGCAGAAAAACACUGGAAGUCGCAGUAUGUGAAAAUGAGCUGAUGAAUGUUAUAUCCAGUCCACCUUGCACCUAAUGCAAAUACAUAUAUUUUUUAAACUCUUCCUUUUAACUGCAUUUAAAAUAAAUAAAUAAAAUUAGACAUAUUUUUAAUUGUGAAAAACUGUAUAACCUAUAAAGUGUAAAUUACAUUCUUGAACACAUUUUACAUAUGUAUGUUGUAUCAUUCCAUUUUAGAAAAAAAUUAUUCACAUUUGAUCACAUGUGAAAUAAUAGAGUCGCCGAGGCUAUAUAAUGUUGUAUUAUUUAUUGUAUAAUAUUGUUAAGAUGAUAUUGUAUUUUUUUCAAGCAAUCCUACUCAAAACUUCAUAAUCUAACUCAAUAUGCUUAAGGUUCUGUAAUAAAAAAGACCUUUUCCACUUUAGCAGUUACUCAGAUGUACAAUAUACCUUGCACACUGAUUUCAAAGGGAAUGGCUAGGCUACAAAAAUGAUUUAUGUAUUUGUGCAUUACAUUUUUUUACAAUUAGUAGAAAGGUAUUUAGAUGAUAAAGCCAAUUGUUGUACGAGCAUUUGAAGUGCUUCUAUUUUCUAUACAGAAAAAAAUAGUUUGUUUCUGAAGAUUCUUUUGUAACCAACUUGACAAUAUAAUUUCAUUAUAAAUGCAAUAUAAAUUACUUUUUGUUGAAUCACACAAGCUGAUAUAAUUCACUUUAUUCUUUACAUUUAUUUUGUAUGUCUC